rnacentral:lncRNA from 1 species
CCAAAUUUAGGUGGGUAGGAACCAUAUAACUACUAAUUAAUGCAGAUGAUUAAUUCAGAAUUAAUCAUAACCAACCAAGCUAUACAGAACAAGCUUACUCAUAUGUCAUCCAGACCGAAUCCUAACCAAGUGCAUUAGUAAGCAAAGGAGUCCAGGUAAAAGUAUCACCCACGAUCUAACUGGGUCAUUUCAAGACAAGCCAGACUUAGAUCAGCUCUUGGCUUAGUGAAAAGGGAGUUCAGUUCACAAAGAACAGUACGACAAGUUAGCCAUCAUCUCAAACAUAUAUGACCAAUGAAAUUAAUGAUGCUACCAAUACCCAUUGCUAUAGAAGGAUAUGCGUCAGGGUUUAUAAUAAGGUUGACCUUGUUUAGUGUAAGUUAUCUUAAAUUACAGUAUGACCCAAAGUGGAUC